rnacentral:rRNA from 1 species
UACGUAGGGGGCAAGCGUUGUCCGGAAUUAUUGGGCGUAAAGAGCGCGUAGGCGGUCCGAUAAGUCGGCUGUGAAAGUCUAGGGCUCAACCCUGGAAAGCCGGCCGAUACUGUCGGACUAGAGUCCGGAAGAGGCAAGUGGAAUUCCCGGUGUAGCGGUGAAAUGCGCAGAUAUCGGGAGGAACACCGGUGGCGAAGGCGGCAUCCUGGACCGGCAUUGACGCUGAGGAGCGAAAGCCAGGGGAGCAAACGGG